GAUGAACGCUGGCGGCGUGCCUAAUACAUGCAAGUCGAGCGAACAGACGAGGAGCUUGCUCCUCUGACGUUAGCGGCGGACGGGUGAGUAACACGUGGAUAACCUACCUAUAAGACUGGGAUAACUUCGGGAAACCGGAGCUAAUACCGGAUAACAUGUUGAACCGCAUGGUUCAACAGUGAAAGACGGUCUUGCUGUCACUUAUAGAUGGAUCCGCGCCGCAUUAGCUAGUUGGUAAGGUAACGGCUUACCAAGGCAACGAUGCGUAGCCGACCGGAGAGGGGGAUCGGCCACCCUGGAACUGGGACACGGUCCAGACUACUACGGGAGGCAGCAGUAGGGAAUGUUCCGCAAUGGGCGAAAGCCUGACGGAGCAACGCCGCGUGAGUGAAGAAGGUCUUCGGAUCGUAAAACUCUGUUAUUAGGGAAGAACAAAUGUGUAAGUAACUAUGCACGUCUUGACGGUACCUAAUCAGAAAGCCACGGCUAACUACGUG
rnacentral:rRNA from 1 species